CAGUCGCCGCGGUAAUACGUAGGGGGCAAGCGUUAUCCGGAAUAACUGGGCGUAAAGGGUGCGCAGGUGGUUUAACAAGUUAGUGGUGAAAGGCAUAGGCUCAACCAAUGUAAGCCAUUAAAACUGUUUAACUUGAGUGCAGGAGAGGAAAGUGGAAUUCCUAGUGUAGCGGUGAAAUGCGUAGAUAUUAGGAGGAAUACCAGUGGCGAAGGCGACUUUCUGGACUGCAACUGACACUGAGGCACGAAAGCGUGGGGAGCAAACAGGAUUAGAUACCCCGGUAGUCCCUGUCUCUUAUACA
rnacentral:rRNA from 1 species